rnacentral:rRNA from 1 species
UACGUAGGGUGCGAGCGUUAAUCGGAAUUACUGGGCGUAAAGCGUGCGCAGGCGGUUCGUUAAGUUCGUUGUGAAAGCCCCGGGCUCAACCUGGGAACUGCAAUGGAAACUGGCGGGCUUGAGUGCGGCAGAGGGGGGUGGAAUUCCUGGUGUAGCGGUGAAAUGCGCAGAUAUCAGGAGGAACACCGGUGGCGAAGGCGGUUCUCUGGGCAGUAACUGACGCUGAGGAGCGAAAGCGUGGGGAGCGAACAGG